GCAUGGGUUUGGAUUUAUGGCAGGUCCGUCCCCCUGGGCCUCUCAUAGUGCCCCAUGCCAGAUCAAGCUGCGGCCCAGAACCACUGCCUGGCCCUUGCCCGUGGGCUGUGGGCACUGAUGUGGGUCGCACAGCC